ACAGAGGAACGGAACACACCUGCGUUCAUCGAAGAGGUGGCAGCGAUCGAAUCGUGUCAGCUGUCCAUCGUUUGACGAAUCGUAGAAGCAUCAAAUCAUCGUUCUAUCAAGAAGUUUUCAAUGUUGUGUUAACAAAAACAGCAAGUGCCACUUUUUGACUACAUGUGUCGCCUCGCCUCGACCCACCCAAUCAUCCACAAGUGCCUGUGCCCGUGCCCGUGCCCCCCAACAGGCGACGAGGUAAGUGCAGCCAGCUAGAGCAAAUGCCAUAAAGAGUCGCCCAAUGGAAAUGGCAAAAUGAUAAAUAAGCGUGGAGGAGAGGAGAGGAGAUGAGAUUUAUGCCAAAAGGCUAAAACGAAUGGCAUGCGGCUCACAGUGGCUAAUACGGCUACGGAUACGGCUACUGCUACUGCAUUCGGCUGUGCAUUCGCAUUUAUUACAGCUUUACAGAAGAUUAAUUACACGAGCCGGGGCCAUAAAUACUGGUACUCCACUCCUAAGGCAAACACAGAACGAACUCUGGGAGCAUUAUUUGCAAAUGCAAAACAUAAAACUAGCUGCAUGUGGUAAAAAUUCAAAUGAGAAACCAUUGCACAGACAGCAGUGUCAGUCCAGAGUACCAUCAGUCUUAGCAUCAGUCCCAGCAUCAGCAUCGGGCAUUAGGUGGCGUCUGACCUUGAAUUGGUGAAGAAGUGGUGGAGUUGGAGGAGGAGAAGCCGAAGCCGAAGCAGAAACAGAAGUAGGAGGUGUCGUGUCAGCACCUGAACAAUAAAGUCGUAAACCAUGUGCAGCCAAGAGGCCCCACAGCACAGCACAGCGCCUCACCUUCUCCCACGUACCAGUCCGUGGCUGCUGGCCCAAGGUCAUCGUCUCUGGGUACUUCUUGUCUCUAGCGCGAGACUAAUUAAAUUAAUUAAAAUUUAAGGCACGCGAUUGGCCUGA